CUCCUGUGUCUCCUGCAUUGCAGGCAGAUGCUUUACCACUGAACCACCAGGGAAGCCCACAUUGAGGGGUAUCCCUUCUUAACAGGCAAGAUUUAAUGAUGACACCUGCAGCAUCAGCUGUGAGAUUUCUUUGUGAGCGGGCAGUUAGGAUUUAUUGCAAGACUAUUGGAAUUAGGGAGGUAACUAAAAAGGUAAAUGACCUUGUAAGGAGACGGGGGUGGUGUCUGUAUUCCCGGCUAUCUGUGUUCCCAGGGCCAGAAAUGCAGACACCAAACAGCGAGCAAGGAGGAAAAGCCUGAUUUCCAGAGGGCGCGCAGUGUCCCCAGUAAUGAAGCCUGACGAGAGGUCUCCUGCUUGCCCAGAGCCGGCUGUUGUCCUAAAAAUGCAAACCAUCGCCUCGGGCCAUGCAAUCGGGAACAGGCAGAGGACAGAGGCUCCGGCUGGGCGCCCCACUGCUCGCCCUCCCUUCAGCACUCCCGACUUGGACGUAGAAAGCUGGUCUUUACCCUUGUACAUAAGGACACAAGAAAGGGAUUUUUUUUUUAAGGUGUCCCAGAGGCCGAUGGUUUUAAUCCUGACUUUAUUUUAUUUUUUUUUUUUGCUGAGCAGAUACUAAAGCCGGGGGAGGUGGGGAUUGCCUACUACCAAUCCUCGAGUCCUCGUGUGUUUUCUCAUGCAAAAUAAGCCCUUUGAACUUGAAAGCUGCAUUUGCGCCUGGCUCCCCAGUGCCUCUCUCCCCUGCGCCUGCAUCCUCUUUGUUUUCUCUAGAGUGUAGGCGAGUCCAUCGCAUCCUCCCUCGGCCAGCCUUUUAUUUUAUUUUUUUAAAAGGCUGGCUCGUUAAUAAUCGAUGGGCCGGGCAGACCCCUCGCCCCACCUCAGAAACCCUGGCCUGGAGGGUGACCCCUCAGGAGGCCGGAGACUGCACCGAUAUCCACAUACGCGCUGGAAGCAGGCCGGGCCUGGAGCAUCUCUGCCUGGGCCCCUUGGCCUGGCAGGUGGAUUCCUCCCUUUCUGCAGUGUUGGUUGGUUUGUGGCUUGUUUUUGUUUUGAACUCUUGCCUUCAGGGCUUCCCUGCUGGUCCUGAGGCUGCAGAGGCAUCCUUGACCCUGGAGGACCGUGUCUGGGAAGGCUCUCAUCCCCUGCCUCUGAGGGUCUUUGUUGUUCACCACUCACAUUGCAAAAAUCCCCCCUCCUCCUCCCCCUCAUCAACCUCCUUGGAAGCAAACCUCGAAGUUGGAAAAAAAAAAAUGCACUUUUCCUUGUGUUUUUAGGCAUCAAUUAUUUCUAUGGAAUUCUUGACAGACAACAAACAAUUAAAA
ensembl:lncRNA